rnacentral:lncRNA from 1 species
UUCCUAUGUUCCUUCUUCAUGUCUUCACAGGGUAUGACAAUCCCUAGUCACAUUUUUAGGAGCAAAAAUCCUACUUCUUUUUCAUGCAUUCAUUAGGCAUAACUUCCUUUGGUCAUAUUAUUAAGAAUAGGGUUCCUAUUUUAUCGCACUCCUCGCCUAAAUUUCUAUCCCUUCGUUUAUUUAUUUUUAAACUAGAUUAUAGCUUUUCUAAUAACUCACAAAAUGUUCCUAGUAUAAACUGGGGCAGAAAAUUUUGUUUGUUUGUUUCGUCUUCUUUGAUGGCUCGCAGGUUUUCCGCAAAGCACAGGUCUAUCCAAGAACGGAUUUUCAUCUCCGGUUAAAAUAUAGAAGAAUGGUCGGUUUGAAGAUAGUUAGAGUCAGCUCUGCAUCCAUAGCGGCUCAAUAUCUCAAGAGACAUCUUUUAGUUUCUGAUUAGGAGAACAAGCAUCCAAAGUAUUCUAUGAACUGUCUUUUGGUAGAGUAUCAAUGACUCAAUCCAAGUUUCAAGUUCAAGUCUCAAAUAUUAAUUGCAAGAUCAAAUUUUGAGAUCAAGGUACCCACCAGAAGAAGGUGAGGCAAUAACUGAAGAUCCAAGAGGAAGACCGGAAGCAAGAAGAUCAAGACAAAUAGAAUAGACAGGAUCUUGUACUUUUAUUUCCAGUUUUACAUUUUUGAUGUAAUAAAAAGAGCCACGAACCGGAAACUCGAUGGGACCUCAACUCGACUCUCCAACUCAUCCAUUCAUUCCACUCUUACACCCAUUUAAAUUACACGUGACCUGAUCUCUUAUAACCCGAGAUAUGUAGGAUGCCCAAAGCCAGGGCUCGGUCACACCUUUUUCCUACUUAUUUACGUAUUACUUUUGAAUAAAUGGUUGGGCCAAAAAUUAGUCCUGUUCACUUCUUUGCUUGGAAAUUCUCCAUAUUUUCAAGCAAAGAAGGGGCAUUCUGUAAACACCUAAUUUUUGACCAAACUGAAUGUUUUACGUCAUUUAGUAUCUUAUUUUACAAGAUUGCUUUUAAAGUUUGGAAAACUACAAAAUAAAGUCAUAUUAAAAUAAGUUUUUUAUUUAUUUAUUUUUAUUACUUAUUUAUUUAUUUAAAAAAAAAAAAGAAGAAGAAGAAGUCAAAUCCUAAAUCUACCCAAACCACCCACAAUCCCCCACUCCUAAUCAACCUCCCCCACUAUCCCNN